UAAACAUAUACUAUUGGUCGAUGUCAACCGUGCACCCUAAACAGAUUUCCGCUGUUUACAGGCGUAAGCGUACACACCGGCUCUCCGCCCCGAAUACACGCCCGACCGUACUCGCUUAUAUAUUUGUAAUCGUGUUGAUCGAUUUAAUCACAACAAGACGGACAACGUCGAUCAUUUAAUGUAAUUUUAAUACCGGGCUAAAAGAAACUCGCGCCCCUUAAUGUCUCGCGACAUAGCGUUCGCCCGGACAUAAUUUAACGGUCGAAUAAACCGCGCCGUAAUCGCUUUG